rfam:Gossypium raimondii chromosome 9, whole genome shotgun sequence.
AACAUCAGCGCGCUUUGCUGACAUGGCAACAAAUUGUGUCCUCGAGGGCGCGAUUUGUUGCCACAUCAGCAAAGCACGCUGACGUGG